CGGAUAUGGCGGAAUGGCAGACGCGUUGGACUUAGAAUCCAAUGGGCAACCGUGCAGGUUCAAGUCCUGUUAUCCGC
rnacentral:tRNA from 1 species